AUGUGGUUUGUGGAAAGGUAUAUAGGUAAGCUGAAGUCAAAUGUCCGUAACAAAGCUCGUCCUGAAGGAUCUAUCGCUGAAGCAUUUUUGGCAAAUGAGUGCAUGACAUUCUGUUCAAGAUAUAUUGUCGGUUUUGAGACCAAACAUAACUUGCUUUCGCAGAAUGAAGAUAACGACGAGUGGGUUGGGCAUCAUGAUAUUGCACAUGGAUCAAGAUUAUUUCCACAUUCUGGCAAUCCACUUGGAAAGCCUAGGAAUUAUGUACUAAGCGGUGUGGCAAAAGUACAGGCACAUAGAUAUGUCUUGUUCAAUUGCUCUGAUGUGAAUUCAUACCUUAGGGCUCAUGCUGAUGAGAUCACUAAUGGACGCAAUUUAAACCCUGAUGUUGUCGAGAGGAUUCAAAAUGAUAAGUUCCACGAAUGGUUCCAAGCUCAUAUAAAGAAAUUGGAGAAGGAAAAUGGCAUCCACAACAUUGAAAAGGAUAUUAGAUUGCUCGCCCGGGGCCCAGUUAAUGCAGCCAAAACAUAUUGCGCUUUCAACUCCCGAGGCUACCAUUUUAGGCCUAAACGCUUGGAUAAAGAGACACAAAAUAGUGGAGUCAUGGUAACUGCAAAAACUUCUAGUUAUGCUUCAGCACAUGAUGCCAAUCCUGUUUUACGUGAUGUGACGUACUACGGGAGGGUAAUUGAUAUCGUCGAGCUAAACUACUCCGGACAGUUUUCAGUGGUGUUGUUUAAAUGUGAAUGGGUUAAUGUGUUCUCAGAAACAGGAAUGAAAAAAGACAAGUACGGUUACACACUUGUCAACUUCUCACAUCUAAUACACAAAGGAGAAAAGAUUGAGCAUGAGCCUUUUAUUUUCCCUAACCAGGCGAAUCAAGUGUUCUAUGUGGAAGAUGAAUUGAAUCCAGGUUGGUCUGUGGUAAUGAAGUUGCCAAAGCCUAGAGAUUUAUAUGACUUAGGCAACUUGGAAUGGGAAGCGCAGACAGAAAAUGAGCCAUUCCAUGUUUCACAGCUUGGAGAGAGUUUGAAAAUAAAGAACAAUGAAGAACAUUGGGUUAGAACAGACGUUGAGGGGACAAUAGUGGAUGCUAAUAAUGCUUCGAGCAACGAAGAAUAA
rnacentral:rRNA from 1 species